rnacentral:rRNA from 1 species
AACGAACGCUGGCGGCAGGCUUAACACAUGCAAGUCGAACGCCCCGCAAGGGGAGUGGCAGACGGGUGAGUAACGCGUGGGAACGUGCCCUUCGCUUCGGAAUAUUCCCGGGAAACUGGGAGCAAUGCCGGAUACGCCGAAUUGGGAAAGAUUUAUCGGCGAAGGAUCGGCCCGCGUUAAAUUAGGUAGUUGGUGGGGUAAUGGCCUACCAAGCCUACGAUCUAUAGUUGGUCUGAGAGGAUGAUCAGCCACACUGGGACUGAGACACGGCCCAGACUCCUACGGGAGGCAGCAGUGGGGAAUCUUGGACAAUGGGCGCAAGCCUGAUCCAGCCAUGCCGCGUGAGUGAAGAAGGCCUUAGGGUUGUAAAACUCUUUCGCCGGUGAAGAUAAUGACGGUAGCCGGAGAAGAAGCCCCGGCUAACUUCGUGCCAGCAGCCGCCGUAAGAC